AAGAACCCUUUGAUGAUCACUUAUUCGAUGAAUGUAAUGACUCAACAAAAUCUAGAAAAAGAGUUGUCCUUCGGUCAAGAAAAAAAUAAGUCCGAAGGAAGAAAAAUCGUUUGAUUUAGGAAAUAUCUAUUUGAAAAUUUCUGAGUCCGGUUGCGAGGUCUGAAUAGUAGGUAUGAAUCAUAGUUUUAAUAUUUCUUUUAUUAAUCUAUUCUAUAUUCUAUAUAUAUUCCGUGCUCCAGAUACUAGAAUAACUAUCCGACGAAAUAGAAUCAUCUCGAUAGAGAUAACAGGACCAUUCUCUGUAUUAUCAAUAGGAUCAAUUAUAACAAGUCACACACUCAUAUUCCGGAGAUACCGAAACAAAUAAAUUCCACGGUCGAACUACCAGAAUGGUCUAGAAAUCCGAGUUUUAAGUAAAGUAAUUUUUUUGAUUGAAAACUAGGACUUCAAAGUUCUUAUAAACUUAACUCAUUGUAAUUCCAUCCAGUAAAACGGAAGAAUUAUAAAUUUCCAAAAUAAUAGAUAGGAAUACCGUAAAUAGGGCCAUUGCGACUCCCAUUAAUGGUGUAGUCCCCCAGCCCGGAGCUACUUUACCAUAUUCCGAAUUCAAUGGUUUCAAUAAAUUCCCUACAGUAGUUUGUCUUGGCCCAGAUCUAGAACUAUCCUCAACGGUUUGUGUAGCCAUAAAUCCUAUUUAAUCAUUGGUUGAGAUCUGUUGACUUUGUAUACCAUUCCGUUGUAGUUGUAAAUAAACGAUCUUAUCGUAGAUCCAUUGUGAUCUUGAAAUUGUCUAAAAAUGGAAACAGCAACCCUAGUCGCCAUCUUCAUAUCUGGUUUACUUGUAAGCUUUACUGGGUACGCCUUAUAUACCGCUUUUGGGCAACCCUCACAACAACUAAGAGAUCCAUUCGAAGAACACGGGGACUAGUUGAAAUAAUGAAAAAUUAUUUCAUUUUUUAGUUGGAACCUUAGGCGGUUCUCGAAAAAAGAUAGCGAAAAAAAUUAUCCCUAAAGUCGAGACUAAAAGGAAUGUAUAAACCAAUGCUUCCAUAGAUUCGAUCGUGGUUUACAAUUAUAGCUUCCACACCUAUUCAUUUGGCAUCAUUUACCAUAUAAAGAAAAGGAAAGAGUCAAAGAAAAGAUGGUGAUUCAAGUCAAGAUUUCUUCAGUACCCUAACCCUAUGUCAAAUCAAAAAAAGAGGCGAAAGAUACCAGAGCAAUGUUGUAUCAGACUACUUGUCUCUUUGUAGUUGGAUCCCCAAGUUUUUGGAAUGCUCCAAAUUCCACUUGAGCAUCCAAAUCUGGAUCAAUGCCAGCAAAAACAUCUCUGAACAAGGUUCUAGCGCCAUGCCAAAUGUGUCCGAAAAAGAAGAGCAAAGCAAACGUAGCAUGGCCAAAAGUGAACCAACCCCUUGGACUGCUACGAAAAACGCCAUCAGAUUUCAAAGUAGCCCGAUCUAAUUCAAAAAUUUCACCUAAUUGGGCACGUCUAGCAUAUUUUUUUACAGUCGCAGGAUCACUAUAACUGACUCCAUUGAGUUCGCCACCAUAGAACUCAACAGUUACACCUACUUGUUCAACACUAUACUUUGAUUCUGCCCUUCUAAAAGGAACAUCGGCUCUAACAAUUCCGUCUCCAUCUACCAAAACUACCGGAAAUGUUUCAAAAAAGGUAGGCAUACGACGUACAAAAAGCUCGCGCCCUUCUUUAUCUCUAAAGACGGGGUGUCCUAACCACCCAACAGCUAUUCCAUCCCCGUUGUCCAUUGACCCUGCUCUGAAUAAUCCCCCUUUUGCUGGAUUAUUACCAAUGUAAUCAUAAAAAGCUAAUUUUUCGGGAAUUUUAGACCAAGCUUCCGAUAAACUCAGAUUUUGGGCUAGUCCGGCGCUAACUCUUCGAUAUAUUUCUUGCUGAAAGUAUCCCUGAUCCCACUGAUAACGAGUGGGACCAAAUAAUUCGAUUGGGGUAGUUGCUGAACCAUACCACAUAGUUCCAGCAACAACGAAAGCUGCAAAAAAAACAGCAGCGAUA